rnacentral:rRNA from 1 species
GACGAACGCUGGCGGCGUGCUUAACACAUGCAAGUCGAACGGAAAGGCCCUGCUUUUGUGGGGUGCUCGAGUGGCGAACGGGUGAGUAACACGUGAGUAACCUGCCCUUGACUUUGGGAUAACUUCAGGAAACUGGGGCUAAUACCGGAUAGGAGCUACUGCUGCAUGGUGGGGGUUGGAAAGUUUCGGCGGUUGGGGAUGGACUCGCGGCUUAUCAGCUUGUUGGUGGGGUAGUGGCUUACCAAGGCUUUGACGGGUAGCCGGCCUGAGAGGGUGACCGGCCACAUUGGGACUGAGGGACGGCGCAGACUCCUACGGGAGGCAGCAGUGGAGAAUAUUGCACAAUGGGCGGAAGCCUGAUGCAGCAACGCCGCGUGCGGGAUGACGGCCUUCGGGUUGUAAACCGCUGUCGCCUGUGACGAAGCGUGAGUGACGGUAAUGGGUAAAGAAGCACCGGCUAACUACGUG